UUUAUAGCAUAAUCUAAAGAUUAUUAUUAAAAUACCAAAUCUGAAAAUCAAUACAGUCACCAUGAGUGAAUAAGGACUUGAAAUACAUGGCCUUGCUGCACUAGCAGUUAACAUCCAGAAAACAAUCCUAUAAUUUGUUGGGUGUAAAGAGAAAGCCAAAGAUACCUUUUAGUUUAAAUUUUCUAAAGUGGCCUGAAAGAUAUGUUGGAGGUAAAUAAAGAAGAGGCUUCCUUCAAACAUCUCAAGAACUGCAAUUAAUGUUACUAGGUCUAAUGUGAAAAUAAAACUCCUCCAAGCCCAUGUGGAUUCCUGCAACAAGGAAUUCUAGAGAGGAAGUGACCAGACUUCUCCAGCCACAGAAUAGCAGUGGCCCCAUGAGAACAACAGAAGAGAAACAGUCCAGAAAUGAAGAUGGUGAAGACGCCUUGCCAUGCUAGCAGUCAGUAGCUGUGCAUCGCUGCAGGUUGCCCAGGACCAAUGCAAGUUGGGUCGGACCUGCAUUGCCACCAUUUGUCCACCAUCCAGAACUGAAGUAUCAUUGCUGACAUGUAUACAUAAGAAACUGUUGG